rnacentral:lncRNA from 1 species
AGAUUGAUUGGAACCAAUCCUGGCUCAAGCCUGCUCCGCACAGCCUUGGAUCCUAAUUUUCUGGGAGAGGAAGAUUCCCUUCUCUCAGGUCACACACUAGGAAGCCGCAUAAUCUGGAAUCCCAGGUGCCUUUAAAUGGUCACCUUCAGCCUUAACUCUCCCUCUAGGCUGAGGUCUUUUGCAAUGCAGGUCUUCACUUUUGCGUGGGGACUAAAGCAACAGCUAAGCACUGACUGUACUUGCGACACCGCAGGUAAUCAUCUGAGAGAGCACCACCUAGUGGCUGACACAGCUCCAGACAUUGCCCUGACAGGAAGGAACUCAAGGCAAGAAGAAAAGGGUUGGACCCUUUCUCAUGAGGAGAAAGAAGAGGGGGUGUUGAGCGGAAUGGAGGAUGGGGACCCUGCUCGUCUGCCUUCUAGUGCUGCCCAGAGUCACAGGACAGACUGCAGACAACGUGAGGCCUGUGAGGACAUCCUGCCCUGUCCUAAGUACGUGGGCCAGUAUCGACCCACUGGGGCUGUGCAGAAAAGCUCCAUGCUGUGGAUCCCGCAUGUUCCAGGACUGCUUGGUGUUCUCGACCCCUCCUGACCAGCACACAUCACCCUCUUACAAUGAUGGUAUUCUCGUAAACCCAUUCUACAGCAAAAGAAGCUGAAGCACAGAGAAAGUGGGUAUGGUGACCCACCGCAGUCUCCUAGGAAACCAGACUCUCAGUGCUAAAACUAUGAAAGUCAUCAGCAAACUGGACAAGGUGGCUACCCUAGCCCCUAGUCUUCCUCCCACUGUCCUCAUCUUCUUCUUUCUUUUUUUAUUUUUAUGUUGUUUCUUUGACAUGCUCUUGUACCCCAGGCUGGCCUCAAAUUCACUAUAUAACUGUUUGUGGUGAAUUCCUGAUCCUCCAGCUUCCUGUAUGCUGGGAUCACAGGAGUGUACCACCAGGCACAGUUAUAUUCUUUUUUUUUCUUAAAAAUGUUUUUUUUUAAGGAUUUAUUUAUUUAUAGCUGGCAAGAUGGCUUAGCGGGUAAGAGCACUGACUGCUCUUCCAAAGGUCCUGAGUUCAAAUCCCAGCAACCACAUGGUGGCUCACAACCACCCGUAAUGAGAUCUGAUGCCCUCUUCUGGUGCACCUGAAGUCAUCUACUUAUGUAUAAUAAAUCUUUGGGCCAGAACAAGCUGGGACUGUGACCAGAAUGACUGGGCCAACGAGAGUGAGCAGAGGUCCUAAAAAAUUCAAUUCCCAACAACCACACGAAGGCUCACAACCAUCUGGACAGCUACAGUAUACUCACAUACAUAAAAUAAAUAAGUAAUUAAAAAGAGAAUUUAUUUAUGCUAUA